GUCUACUUCUAGGACAAAGAUCUAGAAAGGACUGUUGGCAUCAAUACUGGUCACGUCGGUACAUCCGAUUUUAAACUGGAGAAAGGAGAUCGGGACUUCGUGGUCGAACAAGGCCGACGGAGCAUCACGUCCUUCCUGAAGUACUAUGCCGCCCAUAACCAGCACCUUGCUAAACGAUCCGAAUCGUCUUCAUCUCGAGUCGUCCUCACCUCCAAAAUAUCAGAGGAGUCUGAGAAUGGGCAGGAUGAUAAGGACGUGUGUAAGGGAAGUGCUAAUGCUGACAGUAUACGUUUAAAUGACGUCAACGGUACAGAUGAAAUCCAAGAUGAAGACGACGCUGAUAAUGAGAAGACGCCAAUUUUGGAUGCAAGCUAGUUAAGAGAAUUAACUUGGUUCGGCGGACAUACAUCAACUCCAAAUGAUGGCAUUAACAAGACUCCAUCUCCGUUAGGUCAUGAAUACUUCCUCGUGCGAAAAGGGGACCGGUUCUUCAUUGUUUAAGUGAAGAGGCUCGUGGAGACAUUGAGACUGAGUUGUGGAACGUUUGUGAUUUUUGUCUUUAUUGACAACACACACCUACUGUACACAAAGUAUGUGGUGUUAUGAACAAACCUUUCAAAGAAUAAAUGUCAGAGGUUGAAGAGUUUUCUCACGAUUUUUUUUUAUCGUUAUCUAAUAAUAAGAUUUAUCUGAACGUGUUGUGUUUCCACAUUAUGUAGUUAUGAUAAGUUAACUCCAAAUCAACAUUCAUAUAAAACUAGUAUUGAAGCUUUCUUAGGAAUGAAGAAUUUUUCGACAGCGAUCAUUGUCAUUGUGUUGUAAAGUUUAUAUCCCGAAGUUGUAUUAUUAUGAUCAUUUAAUUGUAAAUAGCCCAUUAUUAAGAAUACUUUCAUCGCCGCACUCAAAACACUUAAGAAACCUAUGGUGUUUUUCAUGCAUACAGUAACUUUAAUUUCCUUUUGGACCAUAUAAUUCACUGAUCGUGUUUUUCAGUUGGUUAAAGCGUCCGUACCGUGAUCGGAUGCCUAGAGUCUGAAUUCCAGCCUGCUCAUGUUCCAUUUUUACUGUAUACAGCUGUUGACAGUCGAACGGGUACCCUUAAUACACAUUUAUACACCCAUGGUAAUAAGUCUUCCUUGGAGGAAUCGUAGAAAAAAAGCUUGAUUGUCGCUAAAGCGUUGUAGAAAUUGAAUUACGUGAGAGAUAAGGGAUGUGCCGUUCAGCCACCACGCUGUUAGGUUCGGAGGAUGAGUUGGAUUGUGUAGGUAUAAUACUCACCGGUACCUCCUGGUGUCCUGAUAUAAUGUCACAACGCUGUUAGGUUCGGAGGCUGAGUUGGAUCGUGUAGGUAUAUUACUCACCGGUUCCUCCUGGUGUCCUGAUAUAAUGCCUUCGGUAAUAAAGAAACGGAUGCUGAUUAACCUAUAUUUUUAUUAUCAUUUUGUAAAUAAUUGUUUUAAUUAUCUAAAUGAUAUGACGACAGUCUUUGUUUUGACUAUCAUCCUUAAUCGAACUAUUUUUUUAUCUAAAUGUUGAGCCUUUGAGCGCUUAUGGUCAUUCUGUGCGAGAUCUUCACUUUUAAAGCAUACCUAGUAAUUAAUUCUAAGCCAUAUCAUUCUACAUCAUUAAUGACCCAAAUCCCUAUCAUAUUUUUUUAAGCUAUACUGCUUAUCUUAACCUACAACAUCGGGAUGUUAUUCUGUAUCAAACAACCACAGUAUGAUGGUAACGAACUAUGUCAAAGAAUGAUACCGAAAAGCUACGCAAAGCAUAGAAAUAGAAGUAUUUUUGUAUAAAAUAGGAAGUUGUCAUUUUAAUCCUUAAAUAUGCAGAAUUUGUUGUCAGUUUUAAUGAUUAUCAAAACUUAGCAUAUUUACCCUAAUGUAUAACUAGACAUAAUUUCCUCCAGAUACAUCACAGUCCUCUACAUUAAUGUUCACCCAUAAACACAUAAAUACCAAAGGACAGAAAUGCCGUCCUCGAUACCACGGGGUUACGGUCACUUUCGCUCUCUACACCCCUGGAAUAUGUCAUAGAAAAAGUGAAGGCACGCGGCCAGCUUUUUGAUUGGUGUCGGGUAACAAAAAACCCUGACCAAUCACUAGGCUGAUACCUGUCUUUUGAUGAUGACAAAGGAGCGAUGCCCGACCGUUAAGCGACUGCGAUCUUCUUCUAAAGUACAUCAAAGAACCAAACUAGUCUUCACGAGAAGUUGCUCAUUGAGCCUCCGACUUUGCUCUGCCAUACAUUCCAGGGGUGUAGAGAGCGAAAGUGAGCGUUACCCUUGGAUAUCGAGGAUGCAAAAAUGCAUGCAUGCGAUCAUAUGUUUGAUGUAUGCAAUUACUUGCAUAACGCUUAAAACAUAUGUAUAAUUUCUCAGACCUGUACAUUGAGAAAUAUGCUAUUUUGUAGGUUGUAAAGGUUUAAUUAUACAUAUUAUACCUUUUUAUCUUUCGUCCUUUAUCAAUUACAUUAAGCUGAAUAAGAUCUUCGAUCGAUUUCUUUUUGUGGCAGGAUUGGUUUGUGUAAAAUAUUGUUGUUGUUUGAGUACUUUUGCGUAUCAAAUUUUAAAUUCCUGUUUAUUAUUAUAUAUCGUUAUGAAAUAUUUACAAAUCUCUAUACUACUAUACAUUGAAACUGUUUUAUAUAUCAUGCAUGUCUAGUUUGAGUUGGUGAGGGAAAAUGUGUGCAAAUAUUUUUUUUAUUAAUAUGAAGGGAUUUUUAUAUAUAUAUUUGGCAUUUAGCUUUCAUAUGGCCUAAGUGUCAUAAUUAAUACAUGUUAUCUUGUCAUGUAACAUGAUUCGGUCGACAUACAGAUAAACGUGUUCUUUAUCAUCUUCCUGUGAUUAAGACAUCCAGCUGGUAGGGUACGAUUGACGCGAAUAAUGCUGAUGUCGUAUAAACUGAUGUGAAAACUUGGAAGAACACACUCUAUUUAAAACGUUCGCCAUAGCUGAACUUUUGCCCUUUCGCCAACAAUGAUGAGGGAGGUUUCACAAAGACAGUAAAUGUUGUUAAUAGCUUACUCUACAUAGUUAAUCGAUUGAGAAAUGUGAAAUGUUCACUGAAAGUGUAUCGUUUUAAAUGUCCAUGGUGUCAUUGUUUACUAACUGUUCGGUAAUGACACAAAAUAAAUAUAACAAAUCAAUCGCUGAUUAAAUUCGAUCUUGUGCAGAAUUAAUAACAUAUCCUUAUUAUUUAUACUAUAUGUAUGAAUAAAUGUUAGGAGAUACCAAUUCGCGGUUUAAAUCCGCAUUAAAUUCACUUAUAUUAAAUAAAAAACAAACUGAAAAAUAGGUGAAUAAAGACCCGUCAAUCAAUAACACCUUUCAUGGUUUUACUCAGUCACCCCUAUAUUUCUAAACUGGACUUGUCCAGUCUUUGAUUUGGUAAGGGUUCAAAUGUGGCAUUAGGGUUGAAUGGGUCAAGUGGCUUGCUUCACACUAUCUAUGUAUUAUUUACAGAGAUUGAGUCUCAUGUUAAGACAAAUCAAGAUGUAGUUUGGAGUUGUUGUAACUAUGAAAUAUACCUGAAGCAUAAAACUUCAGAAAGUUCAUGAAAUACGAUCGUGACUCCAAACUUACGGACAUCACAGCAUAGGGACAGUUUUGCUGUUGGAGCUGUUUAUAGUGACGUAUCCUGUGGCGCGACUGUAUUUGUACGGCUUAUGCAAACUGAUAAGUGUAGGACCAGCUGGUUGAUACUGUCUAGUCUGAAGUGCAUUGCCUUUGUAUCAGGGAUUAGGCUCCUGUGUUUACACUGUGAAACUUGCCAUACAAAUGUACAUAGUGGGAUAAGUUCGGGCAGAAAACCGUUAACACACUAUAUCAUAUUUCUGUAUCUCACCUGUACUUUACCUCAUUCUUAAAUAAAUCCUAUAAAUUAAGGAUCCCUGUCCCACCGAACUGCGAUUUUUGUUUAUGCAGUUGCAUCCUUUCAAACACGUAUUCUGGCCAGAACACUUCAGUUGACCAAAUAACUCAUCGGUAAGAGCGAAAUUAUAGAAAUCUGAAAUCCGGGUUUUUCACACUCAGAACUCUAUUUGUUGAUAAUAUUUUGUUUAUUUCAUCUUUGUCAUUUUUCAUAAAAGUCCCGCAGUGAAUGUUUGGUUUCUAUUCAGAAAUGUUUUGUGACAGCUAUUGUCCUUUCCUGGUAUAACGGAUUCCUAAUUGUUCUUUACAGUUUUGGCAGUGGUACGGGGAUCCUGAAGACAGAUAUUAUCAUAAGUUAUAACUUUGUUUAGAAUAAUCCUUUCAUGAGGGUCUAGGGGGUCUGAAUUCAAAUCAAGGUACAACGUGGAAAACGAAGAAAGGUUCAUGAUAAUAGAAGAAAUACAUUAUCAAGAUUUUCUUCAAUAACAUUCCUUGAAAAUUCCAUUUUUGUUUAUUCCUUAGGAGAACUAGAACUAGAAGUUUAAGUCAGAAAACAUGUUUGAGUAUCGACUUUCAUAACAAACAGUCGUAUAUCUUAUUCAAAACGUUUGAAAUAUGAAAUACGUUAUCUCGUCAGUAGACUGUAGUCCCAUGCUGACACGACGUUCUCUCCGGACGGAGUGAAAUUAACAUUCCAGACAUAUUUUCCUUAUAAGAUGAUUUUUCAUUUGUGUCCCGCUCUUUUGAUAUCAGCAACUUUGAUAAACAUUCCAAUCAGAUUUAAUUCGUUCCCCUGAGGUUUUUCUGUGACCAGUAAUUAAUUAACGUCGGUAAAGUCAUGUUUGUACCUGAUAGAUUUAGAGCGUUUUGACACUUUUAUAUUUACAUAUGUGUGUUAUAAAAAAAAAAUACAGUGUCGUCAUUUUUGUACAGUGAUAGUAAUAGCUGUGAGUUAAUGUCCCUUGCUUCCGUUUUUUACUGUCGUGAGAGAUCAAUAUGCAAACUAAGCAUCUUUCUCAGCGAAUGUGCAUAAUCCUAUUUUAAAUACGCAUUUGAUAGUACGUGUGUUUUAUUUUAUUCUGAGUUGUUAAAGUGCUCAGUGUUUUUUUAUUCACCCAGAUGCAUGUGUGUUUUGGAUUUCAAUAAAAAUCGGUAAAGCCUAAAAUCGA